AUCACAUCAGUGCUGCUGAAUUUUUAAAUUCAAGAGAAAUAAAGCUGACUCCUCCCACUGGACUUCCUGGAAACAUAACAGCAAAUUUACAUCAGACUUACCCAAACUGCACCAAUCUCACCAUUGAUUACAUCUGUUCUGAUUCUUACAAGAACUUCAAGACUGUGUCUGAGCUGGAGCCUUUCACAGGCUACAGAUGUAUUGGUCAGAUCAAGGAAAACAAUGUGACCAUAAAAAACACGACUGCUAUC